AUGAAGGCUGGCGAGAGGCUGUGUCUGGUGGCCUCAACUGGACCAGCAUAUUGAGCACAUCGUGAACUCCUGUCAAGCCUGCCAGGAAAGCCGACCUGCACCGGGACGUUCUCCAAUCUGCAUGUGGCCGUGGCCUGAGCGGGCAUGGUCGAGGAUCCACGUGGACUUCGCUGAGCCGAAGAAGGGAAGGUACGUCCUGAUCGUGGUGGAUGCUUAUUCCAAGUGGGUGGAGGCAGAGUGCUGUACCAGUGUCUGCUCCCAGACGACUAUAGCCAAACUGAGACAGAUGUUUUCAAGGUGGGGGCUACCGGACGUAAUCGUAACUGAUAACGCUACAUCGUUCACGUCAGCAGAUUUUGAGGAGUUCGUGCGCCAGAACGGCAUUCAUCAUAAGACCAUAGAACCUCGCCAUAGUCAGGGGAAUGGACUAGCUGAACGUGCUGUACAAGAUGUCAAACUAGCGUUGCAGAGGUCGAACAGUGACUGGGAGACUACGCUAUCACGAUGGUUGCUUUGCCAGCGUAUCACCCCGCACAGCACAACUUCCGUAGCCCCCUCAGAGCUGAUGGUGGGGCGUGUCCUCCGAAGUCGCCUGGACCUUCUGCACCCGGACCUGCGAACUGAGGUGAAGAAACAACAGGUGAUCCAAAAGGAAAACCACGAUGCUAAGGACGUUCUGCGCUGACUUCGGAGCCCGGUGACAUUCCUGCGGAAGGAGGGCAGCCAUCUCGGAAUCCGACGGCGGCGCUGCAGCCGUCUCGUCCGGGGGAGUCUGGCUUGGACGCGUCGCUGCCGCCGUUCAGCACACCUGGAGCGGCGCCUAGCGCUCCAGCAGCAUCGCCAUCGUCUUCGGCGCCUGCUCCGUCGGAGCCCCGGCCUGAGGCAUCAGAGCUCGAGCCCGCGUGUGUCGCCGGCGACGCUGGUGCACGGACGGAAACCCCACUGCGUUCGGGGCUCGGAGUGGAGGCUGGUGCAGGUGUACAGUCUCGUGUGUUGGACGAGGGUGGUGGUGUUCGUCGCGGAACUAGAGUGAGAAAGCAGACUAAGUUUUUUGGUUCCUAGCUCUGUUCAUAUUACUUGUGUUUUGUGAGGGGGCAGUGUAGUGAACUAUGGUUCACGCCUCCCCCACCUGUGGCCUGAGUGCGCCGCUGCGCCUCCCUUAUCGGCCGUCCCUGUGUCCGUCCCUGCGCGGUGUCCGUCCCUGCGUGUCGCGGCGCAUGUGCCUCGGGCGGUUUUGUGUGGCCUGGCGCGGCGGCCGGUCGGCCGGCCGCGCGGCAGUCUGCAGCUGGACCCAAUACAGCAAGGAGCUCG